GAUGCAAAUCAGAUUUAUGGUAGCCUAUGCUCAUUUAGGAAAUUGUCUUCCCCAAAUGCUCGUUAAUGGUGAUCUGCUAACAUGGAAAUUACCUUCAUCUCACUCUCACUCUCGACGACCAACUACAAUAUGCUUCUCCCACCUCUAGUCACUCCCUUUCUCAACUAAUCUGACCCACGACUUAAGGCUCAAAGGCCAUGAGCCAAGGCCAUGGUCAUCUGUGAAAAUGAUCCAAGGUCAGACCUUCAACGCUGGCAAAUUAAUUUCAAGCAGUCCAUACCCAUCGGCACCUUUGCAAGAGGAAUGUGACCGAUUUGUGACCUCCCGACAAGGAGACCUUAUACCAAAUCGAGAUCGAACAAUUGCUGCUUUCUACUCCAUAUAGGCAUUGAUAUAUAUUUUGAAUUACAUCGUUCCAAUUGGUGCUAAACUCUUCGAACUAAUCCCGCCCAAGUUGUUGUCCGAUAGAAUCAGAAGAAUAUGAAGGUUGAAUGGUUGAAUGAGAUGGAACCAGAAGCUAACAUGGAUGAUGUAGCAAAUGCUAUGUUUAAGGAGGUGAUAGGACAUCAAUCCGGCUAUGCAAGAGAUUUAGGCCACUAAGUAAUACCAAAACCAUCUCCAUCAUUGUUGAAGAAUAUGGAGUAACAUAUUAGCGAGGAGAAUGAGAAGAACAAAAAUGAAGUGGAGUGCUUAAAGAGCGAACUUGAUGCUUUCAAGGGAGACAUGGAUGCUAUGAGGUCCCAUUUUUUAGAUGUUGAGAAGAAGCUAGUUUCCCAUAUGAUAGAAUUGGAGUCCCAGAGUCAGUCUCGUAGUGAGACUGAUCUGGGAGAUGCAUAGGCAUCACUAUAUAUGGGGGUACCAGUUUUUUGAAAUUUUUAGACUACUUUUUUAUAUGUAAAAGGUAAAAUCCUUCCAACAAGUUGUAUGUGUCCUUUUGUUGAUCAAAAUAUUUGUUAAUUUGGUGAUGUGGGGACUUGGUCUAUAAAAGAAAAUAACCAUCAAAGUUUACUAGUUAAGGCUAGCAUGGUGUUUAUACAGUUGUAUAGGUUGAGGCAAAACUUUUGAUAACGUAAAAUGCAGGUGGGAGAAAGAUAAGCUGCUUUAUGUAUAGGUA